rnacentral:tRNA from 1 species
GCGCCGGUAGCCUAAUGGAUAAGGCUCCUGACUUCGGAUCAGGCGAUUGGGGGUUCGAGUCCCUUCCGGCGCGCCA